rnacentral:lncRNA from 1 species
AUAUCCAUUCCUUUUUGUGUGUGAUCCCUUAGCACGGCUGACUGGACAUUUCACCGAGAUGUUAACAACACCACGGCCCAAAUUCCCACCUCUUCAUCUGUUUAACCGCCUCUGACACUGAUCCCCAGCGAUGAGAGACAGCUGAUUAUACAGAUGCAGAUCUCCCCAUGCAUGGCAAACAUAAAGCAAUAUGGCCUGCUGUCUCUUUAACAACGAUGCGAGCAGGUACUGAGGACUGACUGAUCCAGAAGGAGACCCAGGACAAGACCACCAGAGCACUGGAGGGAACGUACGUCUCCAGAAUAAAAUACAGGAUGCUUCGCUUGAGUUUGAAGUGGAAGAUCAACUUCGGGUAGUUACCUGUUACAUUAGGAUUAAAUUUAUAAGUAUACACACUG